AACGCUAGCUACAGGCUUAACACAUGCAAGUCGAGGGGGAACGAUAUUGGAAGCUUGCUUCCGAUAGGCGUCGACCGGCGCACGGGUGAGUAACGCGUAUCCAACCUGCCCACCACUUGGGGAUAACCUUGCGAAAGUAAGACUAAUACCCAAUGAUAUCUCUAGAAGACAUCUGAAGGAGAUUAAAGAUUUAUCGGUGAUGGAUGGGGAUGCGUCUGAUUAGCUUGUUGGCGGGGUAACGGCCCACCAAGGCGACGAUCAGUAGGGGUUCUGAGAGGAAGGUCCCCCACAUUGGAACUGAGACACGGUCCAAACUCCUACGGGAGGCAGCAGUGAGGAAUAUUGGUCAAUGGGCGAGAGCCUGAACCAGCCAAGUAGCGUGCAGGAUGACGGCCCUAUGGGUUGUAAACUGCUUUUAUAAGGGAAUAAAGUGAGCCUCGUGAGGCUUUUUGCAUGUACCUUAUGAAUAAGGACCGGCUAAUUCCGUGCCAGCAGCCGCGGUAAUACGGAAGGUCCGGGCGUUAUCCGGAUUUAUUGGGUUUAAAGGGAGCGUAGGCCGGAGAUUAAGCGUGUUGUGAAAUGUAGAUGCUCAACAUCUGCACUGCAGCGCGAACUGGUUUCCUUGAGUACGCACAAAGUGGGCGGAAUUCGUGGUGUAGCGGUGAAAUGCUUAGAUAUCACGAAGAACUCCGAUUG
rnacentral:rRNA from 1 species